rnacentral:lncRNA from 1 species
GGGGAUUUGCUGAGGACUUUUGGUCAUUGACAGGAAUCGGGUGACUCUUGAGGGAAGCCCUCAACAAGGAUGAAGAGAAGCCAGUGAGCAACCAAUGGCCCCAGAGCCAGGAGCCGGGGCAGUGGGCGGGGCUGGAUCUCAGGCAGCCUUCCGGUGCACCUGGGGAGGUGAUCUUCUCUCAAAUGCCCUGGACUUGACACUUGCCAUCGGUGGAGGAGGGAAGACAACAGCACCACAGUGUCCCAGCUGGGGUCCCCAGCAGUCAGGCGAAUGGGACCCAAGUGUUCUGCAUGAUGCCUGCAGGUGCCUGAGGAGCAGCGUGAUCCUAGGGCACCAGGGUGCUGCCUGGCAGG